CCUCCGGGUUCCUGGUCCCCAGCCUGUGGGGGGCUUGGGCUGUAGCGCUGGGGCGGGGGCUUUAGAUCACCCCGAAAACAGGACCUCUGGCGACCUUCUCGUUUUCCACCGGGAGCGGAGAGAGCCGAUCUCCUUUUCCUGCUAGCCCCGUAGGACAGUCCCCGGAGCAGCUCAUAGGAAUAUGACGAACGUUUACUCAGGGCUGGUUACUAUGUACACUGCGCCCCGCGCGCGGCGAGUUUACCUCGGUUCACCUCCCGGCAACCGGCGGCCCGGAUAUUAUCAGAUGCUGUGGGCUUCCCGGCGCCUCAUUGCCCGAGGAGAGGCGGCCGCAGGUAGCUGAGCUGGAGCUAGCACAAGACCUACUCUCCACCCUUUUCCUUCCUGAUUUGAACCUCAAGAGGCCAACCUGCAUGGACUGCUUCCACAGAUCCCUUGUCCUCUGACUUACAGUUGAAUUCACCAAAUAGAAGACAUUGGAAAUGAGACCCGAGGGUUGGAGGAGGAGGAAGCCUGCAAUGUGAACACGAUGGCUGGAGCUCCGGCAGCCAUUCUGGACCAGGAGGUAGCCUUGAAGAUGGAAGCCACAUGUUGGGAUGGUGAAUCCAAAAGAUGAGGAGCCUGUAUCCCCUGUGACACCAGAACUGCCAUACCAGCCCUGGGUUCCUCCAUCUAUACUGCCUUCAUAUGGUAAAGAAAUAUUCUUGGAUCUUGUUAGGUGUCUGUUGCAGCCAAACACAAUCCCAACUGAUAUUCACUGUAAAUGAUUCCAUGGCUCCCUGUAGUACUUCUACAAAGCAUCUAUCACAAUUGUAAUUAAUAAAAUAAUUAUGCAAUUACUGGUUUAAUGCCUAAGUCCCAAGUAGAAUAUCAGUUCCAUGGGGGCAGGGAUUAGUCUGUUCAUGGAUGUAUUCCCAGCUCCUGUAACAACAUCUGGUUCUGGUAGGUGGUAAGUGCACAAUAAAUGUA
rnacentral:lncRNA from 1 species